rnacentral:lncRNA from 1 species
CUAUUUAUGAAGAGGCAGAUGAAAGAGGAAAGAAAGAGACGUAAGAUGAUGAAGAAAUUUGCUGCCGAGAUUAAAGAAUUUGCUAACGGGCAUAGUGAAAAUGUGGAAGAGGAGAGAAGUGAACCUGCUUCUGUUCCAGUUCCCAUGCCAGAUUUGUCUCUACCUGCAUCGUUCGACUCUGACAACCCUACUCACAGGUACCGGUCCCUUGAUUCCUCCAAUCAGUGGCUUGUUAGGCCAGUCCUGGAAACUCAGGGGUGGGAUCAUGAUGUUGGCUAUGAGGGUGUCAAUGCAGAACGACUUUUUGUUGUUAAAGAAAAGAUACCGAUAUCUUUCUCGGGGCAAGUUACAAAGGACAAGAAAGAUGCAAAUGUGCAGCUGGAAAUGGCCAGCUCGGUUAAACAUGGAGAGGGCAGAUCAACCUCCCUAGGUUUUGAGAUGCAAAAUGCUGGGAAGGAAUUGGCUUACACUGUUCGAAGUGAUACCAAAUUUAACAAUUUUAGGAAACACAAAGCUGCAGCUGGUCUCUCUGUAACGCUCUUGGGUGAUUCGGUGUCUGCGGGGCUGAAAGUUGAGGAUAAGUUGAUUGCUAAUAAAAGGUUCAGAAUGGUUAUGUGUGGAGGGGCAAUGACUAGUCGAGGAGAUGUUGCUUAUGGGGGUAGUUUAGAAGCUCAGCUGAGAGAUAAAGAUUAUCCGCUGGGUAGGUUUUUAUCUACUCUAGGACUUUCUGUGAUGGAUUGGCAUGGGGAUCUUGCUAUUGGAGGGAAUAUACAGUCCCAGGUGCCCAUAGGACGUUCAUCUAAUCUAAUAGCUCGUGCUAAUCUGAACAACAGAGGGGCAGGGCAAGUAAGCCUCCGCGUAAAUAGCUCUGAGCAGCUCCAACUUGCACUGGUCGCAUUGGUUCCUCUGUUCAAGAAGCUACUUAGUUAUUAUUCCCCUCAGCAAAUGGAAUAUUGACAAUAAUGGAUCACUUCGGGUUUCAAUUCACUUACUACAAGAACAUCCUAGAUUGAGAGUUGAAAAGGUACUAAUCUAUCUGCUUUUGCUUUCUUAUUCCAUUUGCUGUAAACCCGCUUUAUUGAUUGCUGAUGUGGCUUUUUGUUUUUGAGCAGGAACCUUGGUGUGCCCUUUGGGUUGAAAACUUUAAGAACAAUUUGUUGGAGGAGGCCUCUGUUUUCUUUACAUAGCCAGAACACUUGUUCGUUCCUUGUCUAAUUUAAGCAUAGUUGUGGUUUUAUUCUCUUUCCAAAACCUUUGUAUGGCUUUCUGUUCAUGUCUACCUCUGGAUUUUUCAUAAAGCUUGUUAAAAUUAUGCUGCAAUCUACUUGUUGAUUUUAAGACACCCAUCAUCACCCUCUGAGCUAGCCGUAAUUCAAGGCUUUUAAAGGGAGUUUUGUAGGGGUCCUUAUCAUCUGCUAAACGUCUUUUAAUGUUGUCAAGCAUCUAUUGUAAGCUGCUUUGGAAAGUCAAAGUUGCUGGUAACUUUUGUUGCGCCAGUUCGUAUUAUGCGUCUUUCCCUCAAAUCAAAAGAUUCUGUUGUUGAUACUGUUACUGCGAAUCUCACAUUGUCACGUUGAGUCCCACCAAAUCCAUUGGUUUGGUGCUCAUGCAAUCCAUCUGCGAGACUUCUGUUACACAAUUUGCUCUUGUUAGCAGCGAGAUGUGGUAGCUUUGGUCUUGUUGUCAUUAUAAAAGCUUCUGUGGUGGAAAUACCGUUUGGAUUUGCCAGUUCUUAACGGAAGAGAUUAUCUAUGUGAAAGUUGUCACUGCAUGUUUUGACUUGUCUAAUAUUGUCGAGUAGGAAGCUUUUAAUGGGAGAAGAUGGUAGACAAGAAGUUUACAGUGUUGGGCUGCAAGAGUAUGAAGUCUCAGAUGUUCAAAUUGUAAGGUACUUAUCGAGAAAGGGAACGCUGAAAGGAGCACAGGGUCAACUGGAGCAAAUGGGGAGUCAUCUAGAUCACAUGCUAUCUUACAACUUGUUGGAAAGAAACACGUUUUGAGGUAAAAGAAACCAGACGUAAAAAUGAUGAUGCCAAUGAAUUGCCUGGGAAAGUUGUUGGGAAGAGUACUUUCAUUGAUCUUGCUGGCAGUGAAAGAGGUGCAGACACCACAGACAAUGACCGCCAGACAAGGUGAGAAUGCUCUCUAGACCUCGUGGCUGAGUACUGAUGUGGGACCCACAAAUGACGCUGGAGAUGAUGUCAUGGCACGCUGGCAAUGAUCAGCGUUAUCUUUCAAACCUUCUGAUGCAGGUUCUUUGCUUUCCCUGAGUCUUUCUUUCCAUUACACUCUUCCAAUAACUUGCAUGCCUUGUAGGUGGUAAUUGCCAAUGUUUUGUUAGAGCUUUGGUUCGCUGAAUGCUGAGUAUGAAUGUAAGCUUGGAAUCUUUUUGACCAUCCUUGUGAAUUGUGCUUAUCUUGCUAGAAUUUGUUUCAGGGCAUGUUAGUAAUUUAUCUCUUUCGAUUGGUAAUUUUCUUAGCUAUAGAAACUUUACUGGCUGGCUGCUUUGUGUUUGUUUUUGCUGUAUCUGCCACGGUUAUGGAGCUCAGACUGCUGGAGAGAAUCAAAAGCUUUUCAAACUAAUGUGAAAUCUGAAUCUCAACGGAGAGUACUCUGAAUCAUAUAUACACCAUCAGCAGCUAUGCCUUCUUCGGAAGGAUUUUUUUUCCACCCGAGUUCAGAGAUGAUUUUGGAGCUUGUUUGAUGGGAUCUUCAUGCAGUGGAUGACUCAGAGCUUCUCUCUGAGGUACGUUUGGAAGGACAACUAGACAUAGAUCAUUCAUAGUUAUGUUGAUUGGUAUGUUCUGUAGAAACUAUAGCCUCUCUUGAAACUAAUUCUCAGCUUCUCUUAACUUCAGACCGUGAAGAGAAAGUGUCACCACCUCGUGGGAAAGGGUUGCGGGAAGAAAAACCAGCCAGACCACAAAACUUGUCUAAGAGAGACGUCAGGUCGUCAGAUAUCCCCUACCUUUACAAACUUUAGGCAGACACAAGUAAGCCAUACAUAUAUAUAUAUUAUAUAUAUAACCGACCCUUCACUUGAUGAAAACAUCGAUGCACUGUUUGAGGUAAAAUUUAACCAAUUUAGUAAGCCAUACAUAUAUAUAUAUAUAUAUAAAACAAUCACGUUUGUAAUAGCUAAUAUAAAAUAUUUGCGACUGACAAUAAUAGAAAAGACAGGUGAGUAACUCCAAGAAAGAAGAAAACAAGUAUCUGUCUCGUGUAGUGAUGGCAAAAAGGCCAACAAGAUUUAGCAGCCCACCUAAAAGGCCUUGGCCCACUUCAUGUUUCCACCGUACGAUGCUUAAACCCAAAACGGAUAUCCACCGUCCCUGGAAAGCUCUUAUCUCCCUCCUCCUCCACCUUCCCCGUCAGAAGUUUGCCUCUCUCCCUCUCUCUCUCUAAACGAGGUUAGCUUUCUCUUUUUUUUUGUAUAAGCUUUUAGGGGUUUCACUUUCAAUGAUAGAGACGAGUAUUCUAGAGUUUCGUUUCUGCUCUAAUUUUAUCGUUAGGGUUAAGCCUUUUUAGUCUGAUUGAUUCGUGAUUUCGUUUUGUUUAUGGUUGUAAGUAGGUAUGGAAGAGAAGAAGCUUGCAGACGAUGGAAACAGCGAUGAGCAAGUAGAGAAAAUUGAAUUGGUGGUUUCUGAUGUUGAUGCGAGGGAUACCGAAGAUGAGGAAGCUAUUGACAGUUCAAAGCCUGAAUCUCUCCAACCCGAUGAUUUACCUUCAGAGGAAGUGAAAGAUCCAAAGGAGGUUAAUGGAGAGAGCCAUGGUGAGGCAAACCUGCAACAUAUAACUACGGGAGAGGCUGUACCAGGUUUUGUGACUUCCCGAAUGAAUGGUGAUGAAGGGGAAGCAGGUGCAGGGAAUGUCAGCGAGACAUCCACACAUUCUUUUUCUGAAAAUGGAACUGUCUUUCUUGAGAAGAAACAGCUGGUGGCUGAAGUGAUCGAGGAAACAACAAAUGAUGGUAUUGAAGAGGAAAACAAGGAGGAAACUGUUGAUGUAUCUGGGGCACAAAGAAAUGGUGAACGUGCUUCAGGUGAGAGAUCUUUCAAUGAUAGUAUUCAAGUAGCUUCUGCUGGGACCUCAUCUCCGUUGGAGAAAUCUAGUUCUGAGGAAAAUGGAGAGACUGAAGGUCGCAUCAGUAGAGAUCAUGAUACAGUUCAAAAUGGAGGACUUGGUGUUGAACAUACUUCUCUACCUAAUAAGGAUUUUGAGAAGCAGCAAGGCAGCAGAGUGAAUAUUAUGAGUCCAGAGAUUCAGGAAAGAAAAUCUGAGGUAGCAAUUUCUGUUUCCCCAACAGAGUCUACAAGUCCUGCUCGCCCAGCAGGCCUUGGGCGUGAUGCUCCUCUUUUGGAAUCCACACCACGUGUUCUUCAUCAGCCUCGUGUCAAUGGUAAUGUGUCUCAGAAUCAAUUAUAUUUUUGUGUUUAAAAACUAUUUUUAAACUAUUUCAGCAAGAAUUCAACUGGAAUUCCGAUGAUACGCUCUCUAUCUAUCACCAUUUUGUCCAUAAAGUUAUGGACAACUAUGGGAAGCAGAUGUACGAGUGGAAGAAGAAGUGGGAAGCAAACAAGGUAGUUUUUAAUUUAUUAACAAUUUUUAAUUUAUUAAACUAUUUUUUAAAAAAAUUAAAAGGUUCCAAAGUCGAUGAACGACACGGUGACAGGAUCCACUUGAUUUUUCUUGUACAGUUAUGGUGCUCGGUAAAAGUGGUGUUGGUAAGAGUGCUACGAUUAAUUCUAUUUUUGAUGAAGUGAAGAUCUGUACGGAUGCAUUCCAGAUGGGGACAAAGAGGGUUCAGGAGGUUGAGGGUUUUGUUCAGGGAAUUAAGGUUCGGGUGAUUGACACUCCAGGCCUCUUACCAUCAUGGUCUGAUCAACACAAAAAUGAGAAAAUGUUGAAGUCUGUUAAGGUUGAACGAGCAGAUGAUGGAGAUGAUGAGGAGGAUGUACCCGAACGAGGUGUUCCCGAACAUUCAAGACCAGUAGUUUUUUUUUUUUACCAAAAACUCGGAAUGUUUUAUUUAACUUUGAAUAUUAUCUACUAUGUUUUCAAUUUUAAUUUUAAUUUUAAAUUUUCGAAUUUAAAUUUAAAAAUUUAAAUUUUUUUAAAAAAAUUCCGAAAUUCCGAGGGAAAGAAGUUCCUCGGAAUUUUCCGAGGGAAAGAUGUUCCUCGGAAUUUUUCGAGAGCCAGGUUCCGCGGAAAAGUGUGGAAGCCUCAUUUGCUGUUACUCUCAUUUGCGUCCAAGAUUCUAGCAGAAGCAAACGCUCUUCUGAAAUUACAAGAUAAUAAUACUCCAGGGAGACCAUUUGUAGCUCGAUCCAAGGCUCCACCACUGCCACUUCUCCUCUCAUCGUUUCUGCAAUCAAGACCGCAAGCUAAACUUCCUGAAGAGCAGUAUGGUGAUGAAGAAGAUGAAGAUGAUUUGGAUGAAUCAUCAGGUUCUGACGAAGAAUCAGAGUACGACCAGCUUCCUCCUUUUAAGCGAUUGACUAAAGCUGAGAUGGCUAGGCUUAGUAAAUCUCAGAAGAAGCAAUAUCUUGAUGAGAUGGAGUACCGGGAGAAACUAUUUAUGAAGAGGCAGAUGAAAGAGGAAAGAAAGAGACGUAAGAUGAUGAAGAAAUUUGCUGCCGAGAUUAAAGAAUUUGCUAACGGGCAUAGUGAAAAUGUGGAAGAGGAGAGAAGUGAACCUGCUUCUGUUCCAGUUCCCAUGCCAGAUUUGUCUCUACCUGCAUCGUUCGACUCUGACAACCCUACUCACAGGUACCGGUCCCUUGAUUCCUCCAAUCAGUGGCUUGUUAGGCCAGUCCUGGAAACUCAGGGGUGGGAUCAUGAUGUUGGCUACGAAGGU